CUUUCCCUUCGGACUUUCUCUUCGAUUCAUUCGCCGCCUGCAUCGCCGUCCAAUUCGCUGCUUUCAACCUCCGUCACUUCCUCGACCGGGUUAGCGGCCCUCGCCUCAAUGUCGGAAUCUGGGGCUCCGGGAACGCCGGAGAGCGGCCACUCCGGCGACAGAGGGGGAGGAAGUGCGCGGGAGCAGGAUCGGUUCCUUCCCAUCGCCAACAUCGGCCGCAUCAUGAGGAAGGCCGUUCCUGAGAACGGAAAAAUCGCCAAGGACUCCAAGGAGUCCGUCCAGGAGUGCGUCUCCGAGUUCAUCAGCUUCGUCACCAGCGAGGCGAGCGAUAAGUGCCAACGGGAGAAGAGGAAGACGAUCAAUGGUGAUGAUCUUCUCUGGGCGAUGGGGACACUCGGCUUCGAAGAGUACGUGGAACCUCUGAAGCUCUACUUGCAGCUCUACAGAGAGAUGGAGGGCAACGUCAAGGGUUCCCGUUCUAUUGAUCAAUCAGGAAAGUGAGAUGGGGCAAUCAAUGGGGAGCCAAGGGAUGUGGUCGGUAAUUAUUUGCCUGCAUUACUUAACAAUCACCGUUCCUAAUUUAAAUCGAUCGUCGUGUUUUGGUCCUUGUUGAGAAAGCUGCUGCCCGUGCAAAACUUUAUAGCUCGAGUUUCUUCAAGGUAAAAUUCCACGAUUGUUCGAUAUUCUGUUUCUUAUCAAAUUUAUAUAUCUUGCUGCGUAGAUUUGGUCCAGUUAAUGUUAGUCUAUGUUAAACUUUCUUCUAUCUCACCUGCAUUGACACUUUAGUAGAAUGCUCGCUAGUUCUUGUUUAUGAACAAAAACUAUAUUUACUGGCUAAA